rnacentral:rRNA from 1 species
CCUACGGGUGGCAGCAGUGAGGAAUAUUGGUCAAUGGACGAGAGUCUGAACCAGCCAAGUAGCGUGAAGGAUGACUGCCCUAUGGGUUGUAAACUUCUUUUAUAUGGGAAUAAAAUGUUCCACGUGUGGGAUUUUGUAUGUACCAUAUGAAUAAGGAUAGGCUAACUCCGUGCCAGCAGCCGCGGUAAUACGGAGGAUCCGAGCGUUAUCCGGAUUUAUUGGGUUUAAAGGGAGCGUAGGUGGAUUUUUAAGUCAGUUGUGAAAGUUUGCGGCUCAACCGUAAAAUUGCAGUUGAAACUGGCAGUCUUGAGUACAGUAGAGGUGGGCGGAAUUCGUGGUGUAGCGGUGAAAUGCUUAGAUAUCACGAAGAACUCCGAUUGCGAAGGCAGUUCACUGGACUGCAACUGACACUGAGGCUCGAAAGUGUGGGUAUCAAACAGGAUUAGAUACCCUGGUAGUC